CCAAUUACCAUCAUAAUUCACACAAGCCUAGGGAAGAUUUUUGAGAAGGUUCAUCCUUCUUUGUAUUGUCUUCCACUUCUUCCUUAAACACUUUUUUUUCCUUCAGAUUCUACAGUAGUUUGUUUUGUGUUUUAAUGUUGCUUAGACAACACCUCAUCUGUUGAACUGAUCCCAAUAUAUCCUUUCUUGUGCAUCAAAAAGAAGUACGCUAUGACAUACUUAAUCAAGGAUUUGGGUUCUCUGAAUGGAACUAUAUAGCAGAAGUAUAGAAUAGCUUGCAUUGGAAGGGACUUAAAAGAUCAUCUAGUCCCAAACCCGUGGAUGCCACCCACUAGAUCAGGCUGCCCAGGGCCUCAUCCAGCCUGGCCUUGAACACCUCCAAGGACAGGGUAUCCACAGCUUCUCUGGGCAACCUGUUCCAGGGUCUCACCACCCUGAGUGAACAAUUUCCUCUUAACAUUUCAUCUAAAUCUCUCCUCUUUUAGCUUAAAACCAUUCCCCCUUGUCCUAUCAUUACCUGCCCGAGUAAAAAUUUCCUCUUCAUCUUUUUUAUAAGCCUCCUUUAAAGUUCUGAAAGGCUACAAUGAGGUCUGCCUGAAGCCUUCCAUCCUUCUUUCAGUUACAGAAGUCUCAAAACAAUUAAAGUCGCACACAAUAGAUCUAUAAAUAGUACAGAACUAAUCUAGAAUCAAUCUAGAUAUCAUCUAAACAGUAACAAUUUACUAGAAUUAUGAUGAUAAUCCAAUGGUAAUAACACUGCCUGGAUGCUUCUAUAGUCCUCAAAACAGAAUGUAUUCAACAAUAGAAUGAGUUGUUUAGUAAAAUGCUGUGAAAGAUGGGACGUAGCCUUAUUCUGAUGCAACUACACAUAAAAUUCCAUGUGCUACUGUAAGAUGGCAAUAUGUCACUCAAAGAAUGGUCAAAAUAUGCUUCCCUUUUUCAAUAGAAAGAUUAAAUUAGAGUAAAUCAAUCAAAAAAAGGAAACCAUUUGCCACUACGCAUUAAAUAUUUUUAAGCAGUUAUUUCAGUAUUGUGUGUUUUUGUUUUUUGUUUUGUUUUUAAUUGGAAAAGCAGUAUUAGAAUAGAGGUCAGAGGUGUUUGUGUUUCUGUCUAUUAUUUCCACUAAAGCACUAUAUGCUUUUGUUUAUGGAACCUGUUAAGUAAACUCUAAUCAAUAAAUUGCAUCAAAACAAGUCCAUGUCACACACUGUGUACACACACACACACAGAGUAACAGAAUAUACAAGCAUAAAACAUUAAUACAACAAUAUCCAACAAUUCCCAAAAUGAACAACACACAUUAGCAUGCUGGCACACUCAGUGGCAAACCGUUUUCUUGCUGGGUAGACUCUUUAUCACAGAAGAGACGCAGAAUAUUCAUUGGUUCCAAAUCCUAUAAUCAUCCAACAAUACUACAUUACCAACGAUGAGUUCAUAACUUCAUCUUUAAGUUCAGUUAACUGAAGCAAUCGUAGAAAAUCUUACCAUUCUUACUAUUUGGCCAAGAGUUUUUCUUCGAGUAUUACACUCUUCAGGCUUGAGCACCAUAAUUACAAGAAUCUCCAUCAAGAAUGCUUCCAUAAACUGAAAUAUCAUAGCUGUGUGGAUCUGCUGCCCUAAAAACCUACAAAGGGGAACUUACAAAAUAUACAUGACACAUGGAAACAGAGGAGUUACAGACAGUAUUACAUUUCUUAGACUGCAAAGAGUGCAUCGUGUUCCAAGUUCUAGAUAAAGGAUAAAUUUUGACCUGUGAUAUAACUGAGAACCCCAUUCGAAGACGAUCAUCAUCUGAUCAAAUUGUGAGAUGCAAAGUUUGACUUCAGAUAAUCAUUUGCCCUACCAAUUAAGCUAAUUCCUUCUUUAAAUACACUAACAACAACAACAACAAAAUAAUAAUUGUUAAAAACAGUUUUAAUUAAUCAACGAAUGCAGGGAGCAUGCAAAAUUUCCCUCUACCUUGCAGCAUUUAAGAAUAUCCCUACAUACAGUGUUGCUACAUUUGUUAAAGAUGAUAAUUUUUUGAGUGGCUCAUAGAAGCAGGCACACCAUCCAUGUUUUCUUGUCAGAGCCAUCAACUCUGGUACUUUUCUGCCGUGUCUCUCCAUUAAGUGCAAAGGGCAAAACAUGUAUAGAUUGCUACCAUUCAGCUCUGGUAGCAUUAUAAGUAAUUACAGAAAAGCUACAUUUUGAAUUUGAUGUUUGUUUUUAUGUAUCAUAUUACUGACUACUAACUUAGUACGAACUUUGUAAAAACAAACCAUUAUAAAAGCAGGAUAUGUCUAAGGACUCAUUUUUGGGAGUUAAUUAUUUUCCUGACUGGGUAUUUAUCAGAAUUGAUCUAUUUAUCACCACUUAUUAUUAGAAUCCUAUCACAAAGAUUUUGAAUACCAAAAUCCUAACUUCAAUGCAAACACAGAAAAAUGUAAUUAAGUAAAUCACCAUUAUCUACCAGAGAUAUCCAUGUAUCCAUGUAUAUCAGAGUAUACCUACAAAAUCCAAACUACCACCAAUUUAUUCUUAUCUGAAUAAGACACCAUUUUCUACUGGCUUCCAAAGUCAGCGCUGGUAGUGCCCAGGCAGAAGGGAAAUCUGUGCACUUGUCCACAAAUAAUGGACAAAGACACAAAGUGACACGGGUAGGUUUACUCACCUGCUUGUCUGGAUCCACCCUAGAAUUUUAAAACAUUGCAGAGCCUAGACUCUAGGAACACUCAAGAUUCCCAUCAACAUCUCUUGCCUGCAAGCUUUAGAGGUAUGGGCUGCACCUAUUUGCUAUACCACCUGUUUCCCACUGUUCUAACUCCAUAUGAAGGAACACCUUUGUAUAACCUUCAUCUAAGCACCAAAAACAUGGCAGUGUUGGAUGCAUGCGUGUGGUUAGUCUUGCGUGAUUUCAAAGAUCUUGGGAAUAUUUUCUGUGAUACAUAAAGAAAAAAACAUUAUGUGCAUCUAGAAGCAUUUGCAUACCAUAAGGCAGGCCGAACAGAGUGAAAAAGGAGAAUAAAAAUCAAGGCAAGCAAGAACAUUAAAACAGUAAGGUUCCUCAAUAUAGGCAGAAAAUAUUUGCUUUAUUACACAGGCUUUUAUGUUUCAGUACAGUUUAUUAGCCAUGGGGGGGAGGGAGAAAACAAAAAUUAGUUACCUUUGUAAACACCAUUUCACCAGGGUUAUUUAUUUUCAGGAACAUAGCAAACUUUCAUGAGGCAAUGCGAACACUUACACAUCAAUCUCACACAUUCCUCACUGCUUUAAAUAGAACCUUUUAUGCUACUUACCUGUGCUGAAUUUUUAUUUUCUGUGCAAGAGAAAAUGUGAUUUGAGUGACAGAGAAACAUAAAUCCUUUCGAUUGGUAACUGUUAUGAAUCAUCAUUAUUUCUAAUGUAGUAGUACUGAAAGACCUCAAACAAAAUCAAAACUUUUCCUAGUUCCACCUCAAGCUGAGGGACAAUAGUAGCUUCUAUUUUUAUCUUGUUUGGAAAGAGCACGGUCACCAUUACCCUGUCAAUUUUAGAAAAAUAGGUCAAGUUCUUAUUAUCAAGUUCUAAACCUAUUUACAGCACUAUAAGUCUUUUCAACAUAUACUUUGCAUACACAGUAACACUCAGAGAACAGAACCUGAUUUUCAAUCAGUGAGUGAAGUCAGCCAGUAAUCAAACAAACCUAAUAGAGCCACAUCUGGCUUAUGUAUUUGAGUACAGUUCACUUCAGUUUUCUGAAAGCAGAAGUCAUCUUUAACACCAAAUUUCCAGCUGUGUUUGCACUCCAUAUUAUACUGUGGCUAGCAAAGCACUGUAUAUGUCUAAAAAUAUAUGUAAGAAUUAAUUUGUACAGGGAAUGAUGUUAUCUCAGCUAUGCUGAUUUCACCUCUAAAUAAGAUCUCAUUUCUUAACAAGGCAGGAGGAAACUGUAGACACACUUUCAACUACACAGUUAACCUGUUAUUGGAACAAUGUCAGACUGCUGAGUUUAUCAUAGCAGAAGAAAGUCUAUAUUCAUUUAGGUAUUGGCUUAACCAGAGGCGGCUCUGCUAAUCUCAAGCCAUUGAAGGUCUGUUUCCUUUCUUCUGGAGUUUGCAAUUUUCUUUGUUCUAGGAAAUGUCCAACUUCUCCACCAUUUCAAAACUUUGAAAAUAUGGUUAUUGUUCAUCUUAUACUCGAUUUACUGUGUGCAAGAAAAAAUUCAUCCUGAGGAUUUAUCUAACAAAAUAGAGACAAUAUAUAUAUCUUAGUACUGUUUGUCAACUUUAUGAUACUAAUUUCUUCUCUACCAAGCAACUUCAUUUCAUUUAAUAACUCUCACACGAUAAAAGGACGAAUGAAAAAAAAUACCAAACCCCUGUU